rnacentral:tRNA from 1 species
AACGUGUGAUCGAGUGGUUAAGGCAAUGAACUGCUAAUCCAUUGGGGUUUCCCCGCGUGGGUUUGAAUCUCAUCCACAUCGG